rnacentral:rRNA from 1 species
AGAGUUUGAUCCUGGCUCAGGAUGAACGCUGGCGGCGUGCCUCAUACAUGCAGGUCGAACGGGUUUAGCGUGGUAGCAAUAUUAUGUUAAACUAGUGGCGAACGGGUGAGUAACACGUAGUUAACCUACCCUGAAAUUAGGGAUAACGUACCGAAAGGGACGCUAAGACCUUAUAAGACAAGUCUUCGCAUGAAGACAGGUUAAAAAAUGGCCUCUAUUUAUAAGCUAUGUUUCGGGAUGGGACUGCGGUCCAUUAGGUAGUUGGUGAGGUAAUGGCCCACCAAGCCUGCGAUGGAUAGCCGGACUGAGAGGUUGGACGGCCACAAUGGAACUGAGACACGGUCCAUACUCCUACGGGAGGCAGCAGUAGGGAAUAUUCCGCAAUGGGCGAAAGCCUGACGGAGCGACGCCGCGUGAAUGAAGAAGUCCUUCGGGAUGUAAAGUUCAAUCGGCCGGGGAAGAAUGGUUUGCAUACUAAUAAUAUGCGAGCAGAGACGGUACCCGGAAUGAAGCCACGGCUAAUUACGUGCCAGCAGCCGCGGUAAUACGUAAGUGGCAAGCGUUAUCCGGAAUCACUGGGGUGUAAAGGGUGUGUAGGCGGUAAUAAAAGUUUUGUGUUUAAAUUCAGGGCUCAACCCUGAACUGGCAUGAAGGACUGUAUUGCUAGAGUGACAAAGAGGAAACUGGAACUCCAGGUGAAGCGGUGAAAUGUGUAGAUAUCUGGGGGAACACCAAUGGCGAAGGCAGGUUUCUGGUUGUCAACUGACGCUGAGACACGAAAGCGUGGGGAUCAAACGGGAUUAGAUACCCCGGUAGUCCACGCUGUAAACGAUGUUCACUAGGUGUAGGAGGUAUCGACCCCUUCUGUGCCGCAGUUAACGCAUUAAGUGAACCACCUGGGGAAUACGAUCGCAAGAUUAAAACUCAAAGGAAUUGACGGGGGCCCGCACAAGCGGUGGAGUAUGUGGUUUAAUUCGAUGCAACCCGAAGAACCUUACCAGAAUUUGACAUGCUAGCAAAACUGUGUAGAAGUAUACAGGUUCACGUAGCAAUACGUGAGGCUGGACACAGGUGGUGCAUGGCUGUCGUCAGCUCGUGUCGUGAGAUGUUGGGUUAAGUCCCGCAACGAGCGCAACCCUUAUUUCUAGUUGCCAUCAAGUGAAGUUGGGCACUCUAGAGAAACUGCCGAUGACAAAUCGGAGGAAGGUGGGGAUGACGUCAAGUCAUCACGCCCUUUAUAUUCUGGGCCACACACGUACUACAAUGGCGCGUACAGAUGGUAGCGAUAUCGUAAGAUGGAGCCAAUCCCAAAAAGCGCGUCUCAGUUCGGAUUGAGGGCUGCAACUCGCCCUCAUGAAGCUGGAAUCGCUAGUAAUCGCGGAUCAGCAAGCCGCGGUGAAUACGUUCCCGGGCCUUGUACACACCGCCCGUCACACCACCUGAAUUUAUUGCACCCGAAGCCGUGUAUCCAACCGCAAGGGGGAGAGCGUCUAAGGUGUGGUCAGUAAGGGGGGUGAAGUCGUAACAAGGUAACC